CUCAACGGGGUGCUGAUGAAAGCUGAGAAAAUACCCGUCGAACCUGAUCCGGAUAAUGCCGGCGAAGGGAUUUGAG
rnacentral:ncRNA from 1 species